UACGGAGGAUCCAAGCGUUAUCCGGAUUCAUUGGGUUUAAAGGGUGCGUAGGCGGAAUGAUAAGUCAGUGGUGAAAAGCCUGCAGCUUAACUGCAGAACUGCCAUUGAUACUGUCAAUCUUGAGUAUAUUUGAUGUGGGCGGAAUGUGUCAUGUAGCGGUGAAAUGCUUUAGAUAUGACACAGAACACCGAUUGCGAAGGCAGCUCACAAAAACUUAUAACUGACGCUGAGGCACGAAAGCGUGGGUAUCAAACAGG
rnacentral:rRNA from 1 species